AGAUACCCUGGUAGUCCAUGCCGUAAACGGUGGGCGCUAGGUGUGAGGGUCUUUUCACGACUUUCGUGCCGUAGCUAACGCAUUAAGCGCCCCGCCUGGGGAGUACGGCCGCAAGGCUAAAACUCAAAGGAAUUGACGGGGGCCCGCACAAGCGGCGGAGCAUGUGGAUUAAUUCGAUGCAACGCGAAGAACCUUACCUGGGCUUGACAUACACCGGAUCGGGCUAGAGAUAGUCUUUCCCUUUGUGGCUGGUGUACAGGUGGUGCAUGGUUGUCGUCAGCUCGUGUCGUGAGAUGUUGGGUUAAGUCCCGCAACGAGCGCAACCCUUGUCUUAUGUUGCCAGCAUUUGGUUGGGGACUCAUGAGAGACUGCCGGGGUCAACUCGGAGGAAGGUGGGGAUGACGUCAAAUCAUCAUGCCCCUUAUGUCCAGGGCUUCACACAUGCUACAAUGGUCGGUACAACGCGCAGCGACACUGUGAGGUGGAGCGAAUCGCUGAAAGCCGGCCUUAGUUCGGAUUGGGGUCUGCAACUCGACCCCAUGAAGUCGGAGUCGCUAGUAAUCGCAGAUCAGCAACGCUGCGGUGAAUACGUUCCCGGGCCUUGUACACACCGCCCGUCACGUCAUGAAAGUUGGUAACACCCGAAGCCGGUGGCCCAAACUUGUUAGGGAGCCGUCGAAGGUGGGAUCGGCGAUUGGGACGAAGUCGUAACAAGGU
rnacentral:rRNA from 1 species